rnacentral:rRNA from 1 species
UACGUAGGGGGCAAGCGUUGUCCGGAAUCAUUGGGCGUAAAGCGCGUGUAGGCGGUCCGGUAAGUCGGCUGUGAAAGUCCAGGGCUCAACCCUGGGAUGCCGGUCGAUACUGCCGGACUAGAGUUCGGAAGAGGCGAGUGGAAUUCCCGGUGUAGAGGUGAAAUUCGUAGAUAUCGGGAGGAACACCAGUGGCGAAGGCGGCGACCUGGGCCAAUACUGACGCUGAGGUGCGAAAGCGUGGGGAGCAAACAGG